rnacentral:lncRNA from 1 species
CUCAUAGGUGGAAGAUAAAAUAUACAUACUUACAAGACAUUUAUUGCAUAGUCAAACCAUAGAUCCAAAGAAACAAAUCAAUAAGUCAAAUCAAGAUGUGCAUGUGUGGCGAAUGAAUGUUGUUUGGUGAUGAUGGUGAUAACAAUGGUGAAAGUCUAAUUCUACUUUUGCUCUUUGAGGGGAUACAUACCUUUCUUGCUUUUUUGAAACUUUGUAAGGAGAAUGAGAUGCUCUUCUUUUUUCUUUUCUCUCAGGUGGGUAUCUUGUACCCGUAAUUCUACUGUUAGACACUUGUCCAUGUUUACCUCUCGUCUCACUUUUUCUUUUCUUUCGAGGUUCCGGGCACUUGCCCCUUUUUAUUUCCUUGUAUCUCUUUUCCUCUCUCUCUUUUUUUAGAGCACUCAUCUCUUGAGAUAAUAUAGAAAGUGGUAGUAACAAGAUAACUUGAGCAUUUAUUUCAUAGGGGAAAAAUAGAAAUAUUUUUGGCUAUUCUCUCCCGGAUUAGGAGUAGAAUAUUUUUGGGUGAUUCUGGAGAUGGAAAUGGAUGGAUAUAUGUGGAUGGUACUUCCGGAGUAGAAGCAGCAUGUGUGAGUGAACGUGCAAGUGAAUCUUGAUUUAACAACAUGGCAAGCUCCUAAGGGUCUACACAGCUUGACCACACUCAAUGCUCAUCAGCAGUAAAAAGUAAAUGUGUGGCUCAAAGUCUAGCAAGCAUGUAUAUAUGGCUGUGGUAGAAAAUUAAACUCUCAUCAUACAAGAACUCAUCAUGCAAUAUUUUAAAGAUUUUCAAAGAUAAAAUUCUCCAGAAUUCUAGCAUCUCUAGGAACAGAUAGACAACAGCUCAACCUUCCCAUAUCAUAUCCGUUAACAACUUAGACUUCAGAUCAAGUUUUCUUCACAUAAGUUUAGGUUUUGAGCAAGCUUUAAAUUAUAACAGUUAUGUCUAAACUUGAGAGAACUUCAAAUUUAAAAAUUAGGAAGAGCAACUAUUCAUCAUAUCAAUGCUAGAGUUUUAUUAUUAAGAUUCAGAUUAGCAUAGCCACUUUAUUUAUUUAUUAAACACACUAAGCAAAAGGUAUAUAUAUAUAAACCUAAAAUCUUUAUUUGGUUUUUCAUAAUUAUUUAUAUCUAUAUUUUAAUAUAGUAUAACUAUAAAGAUAGAUAGAAAUACUUAUCGGGAUAAAUGGGGGUGCUCUCCCCCAAGCUGAAUUUUGACGUAAUUUCUUUUUGAUGUAGCUAGCAGGUGGCAGAGGUGUAUUUGAAAGUCGGCAGUAUCUUGACAACGAUUAGAAUGUCCUCCGUCUGCUAGUCUUCUCGAUUCUUAAAUUCUGUGGAGCUCAAAUAGACAACAAAGCUUUGUGGAACUGAUUAAGUGUUAGCAUAAAUAUCUAGCCUUUAUCAUGUUGAGUCUCCUCAAUAAAUGUUACUCUCUAUUUUUAUAUUUUCAUUUUAUAAAGCAGAAAAGAAAUAUUUAUUCUAUUUUUAUGCCACCACAGUGAAUGUACUUAUGGGUCUCAUGCCACUCGUAUACUCACAUGGGGCUUAUUGUUUUUUAACAUUUUUAUUUUCUUUUUAGGAUAGUAUGAACAUGAUUAACUAAGCAAACUAUUUAAAAUAAUUGAAAGGGAAAGGAUAACUACCAAGUUUACCUCUUGGCAAGGCGUUCGGUGUUUUUAAGUCCUCCGAACGGGACUCUCCAUUUUCUCAGUUGUCCUGGGAUUCGUUGGUUGGCGUAGUCGGUACUUCCGGCGGUGCCUCCUCUUCGUGUAUGGUUAUCUUCUCUCUCCAUACCUGAACCGGUGCUACGAUCUCCUCAGGAUAAUUCUGUUUAAACUGUAUGUCUUCUGACCUUACCACUUCUCCUUCAUAGUCUGCCCAUCCGUCCUUGAUGAUUUCCCUCCUCUGGUUGCGGUUGUGUCGUUUUCUGACCUGCUUAGAGUCUUCAACAAUAUAGUUAGGGUCAGUAAAAUAGCGGCGUACCUUUUCUGAGGGGAAGUGCAUAUGGACUUCUGUUGACGGUCCUUAAUGCUCACAUUUAACCAUCAACUAAUCAUAGAAAAGGAUCCAAAUGCAACCAACACCUAGACUUAGGGUUUUAUCUGACAGAAUUCCACGAGUUUUGGUGUUUGUCUAUUUCUGUAGGGGGUUAUCAGGAAAUACGGAAGAAAGGCCCACACGUCGGGUUUACAUAGAGAUAUUAACGUGCCGCGCAAUUUUCUAUCAUCUAGAAGACUCCAGAAGCCACGGGACCGAAGCGGAAGCCGAGAGGCCUCAGGGACAGGGCGCCCGCCCUAGUCCUGAGGGCGCCCGCCCUCUCCCCUGGACCAAUCAGGGUGAAGUUCGGGGAUUAUGCUCCACCGACCUAAUACUUCAAGGAAAACCACACGAUCAAUGUCAGUUUGAUCCGACGGCCCAGAUUCACUUGAAGGGACUAUAAAACCAGACCCCCCUAGCCCCUGGAGAUCAUACCUCUUCUACAGAAUCAAAGUUAGGGUUUCAAUUCUUCAUCCAAGUAGAGAGGAUCCCUCUAGUUCUUCUAGUUCUACCUCUAGUUCAUCUAGAUCUAGUUCUAGUUCAUCUAGUUCUAGUUCUAGUUCCUCUAGUUCUAAUUCUAGUUAGUUCUAGUUGUAAUCUAGAAAAUAGGGAGAGAGAAGAGGAGAGCGGAGGAGGAGCCGGAUCUGUCGGAUCUUCCUCAACAUUGUACUUUUGCAGCAACUGGUUCGUUCUUCAUCGUUCUCCAGGUUCUUCAAUUCAUAACUCCUGAGUUCUCUAAUUACUUUUAUUUACAUUUAAGUUAUUUAUUGGAUUCCCGCUUGCAUCAAGUGCUCUAGUCUUUAUAACGCUAGAGUAGUAAUUAAUAGAUUAGACGUGGUGUUUAGUCUUGCGAUUACCUGGAAUUGCACCCAAUCCUGCGGAUUGUUGUGGUAGCCUUAGGGUAGUGACAGCCCUAACGGUCGACGUAUUCCACCACGUUCGGAUCGGUGUUUGUAGGACCGUAGUCAGACCUUCCUAGCCCCCUUCUCAUCUCUUUCUGUGGUUAGUGCUCUGAUGUCCCGAUAUAGAUAAUCUUGAAGUAAUUCUUGAUUCUUAGAUCAACUAGAGAAUUCUGAGGAAACUUCCUCUCUUCCCACCAAAAACAAUUAUAUAGUUAUCCUUAGGCGAUCUUGAUUCUUAAUUAGUACACUCACGUUCUCUGUGGAAAAUCGAUACUCUGGAAUACUCCCGGGUGAAAGCUACAUCGGUAUCCGUGCGCUUGCGGAUUUUUCUGUUUGUGUUUAAAAUACCCAACAACUUCUCUGGUUCCAAUGUAGAUGAUUGCUUUAACGGUGCUGAGGAACGGUCUUCCAAGGAUGAUGAGUGGAUCGUAUUCGUCUUCUCCCAUGUCAAUAACCUGAAAGUCUGUGUAGACAAAAUGAUCGUCUAUUUUGACUAGGACAUCAGUUACUAUUCCUUUAACUUCUUGAAAUGUCUGAUCUGCCAUCUGGAGCUGAAUGUAUGUUGGUUUUAGGGGAAUGGUUCCGAACAAGAGCCGAUAGGUGACUGCGGCCAUUAUAUUGACGCCCGAUCUGGUGUCGCAAGUCGUCUUGUAGAAGUUAUAUCCAUUUGUGGAGCAAUAGAUGCUUGGCAUUCCUGGGUCGUCCUUCUUGGUCAGAAAUGGUGACUUAAGUUGAUGAUCUUGACCUCCUUGAACUGCAGUGACCAUCUUAGCUGACUCGCUCCAUACUUGCUUGUUCCUAUUCCUCCUGUUGGUCCUCUUCCUUGAUUCACGUCUGGAUUGAUCUGGGAUUUGUGUAAUCUUGUUCUUGAAGGAAAACGUCUCCUUCUUCCCUUUGAUGUAGAAACUGAUCUUGGCAGCACUAGCAUAGAUGACAGCUCCCGAGGUGUUCAAGAAUGGCCUCCCUAGAAUGAUGGGUGCUCUCUCAUCAUUAUCGGUCUCUAUCACCACGAAGUCUGCUAGGGCAUAUAAGGUACCAACUCAGACACAAAGGUUCUUCAAUAUUCCUUUUGGAAAACUUAUCGUCUGAUCUACAAACUGCAAACACAUGGUUGUCUCUAAUAAAGGAUAUGUAAAGAAUUUUUCAUAGAGUACCCUGGGUAUAAUGUUGACACUAGAGCCAAAGUCGCAGAGUGCUUCUGGGAUGUCCACCAUGCCCAUGGAGAUCGGGAUGACAGGGCGUCCUGGAUCGCCUCUCUUGACCGGCAGAAGGUCAGUAGUAACUUCAGUGACGGGGUUACUCCAAUUACCUGCAUCAAACAUGUCUACAAGAUUUACAGAUUCUAAUCCUUCUGGUUGUGAUGGUAUAACGGGGUUAGUAGCAGGAACAGCAGCAUCUAUUUGGUUUAACUGAGAUUCAAUCAUUUUAUUAAAGCUAAUUUGAUUCUUGAUGGCAGUAGAGAAAUUAUCCAUUCUAUUGUCUAUAUUUUCUAGCAUUUUAUCAUUAGAUGCCAAUUUCAUAGAUAGGUUAUCCAUUAGCUUUCCUUGAUUAGACACCAACUCUCUCAGAGGUGGAAAAGUAUUAUUAUUGUUGUAAGAAUUAUUACCUUGAUAAUUACUUGAGUAGUUAGGCCUCUGUUGAUUCCAACCGUGGUUUUGUUGAGGACGGUUGUAGUAGUUGUUGUUAUUGUUGUUGAUGUAGUUCACAUCCUCAAGCAUCUCAGGGCAGUGAUUGCCUGAGUGUCCAGUGUCUCCACAUUCCUCACAAGUCAUGUGAGAGUCGUAGAUGUGCAUAACUUCGUUCUUAUCUCCAGCUCUAUCAUCGAGCUUCUUCAUGAGCAGGUCUAGCUUUGCAGACAGCAUGUCUACCUCCUUGAGCUGAUGCAUACCUCCACCUCUCUUGCAUGUCUGGGUCCUCUCUUCAUUCCAGCCUUGGUUUGACGCCAUCUUCUCCACAAGAGCUGUGGCUUGUGAUAUGGUAAGUGAUAAGAAUGCUUCUCCAGCUGCAACAUCCAUGGUCUCUCGGGUACUAUUGCCGAGCCCAUGAUAAAAUGUCUGCAUUAGUAGCUAACUCUCCAUUCCAUGACGGGGACAUUCUAGGAUGUAGUCUUGGAAGCACUCCCAUGCUUCUGGAAUGGAUUCAUCAUGUUGUUGCUGAAAACUUAUAAUUUUCCGACGGAGAGCAUUGGUCUUGCCCAUGGGAAAGAACUUAGCCAGGAAGUUUGUUGAGCAGAGUGCCCACGUAGUAUUCUUCUCCUUUGUAGCGUAGAACCACUGCUUCGCUCUUCCUAACAGUGAGAAUGGGAAGAGGCGAAGUAGUAUAGCAUCUCUAGGGACUCCUGAGAUGGCGAAUGUGCUGCAAAUCUCCAGGAAGUGUUGGAGAUGAGCACUAGCAUCUUCGUGUGCCUUCCCACAGAACUGAUUGGAUUGCACCUUGUUUAUAAGUACAGGCUUUAGCUCAAAGUUGUCAUCGAUCUCUGCAGCAGGUCCAGUAUGGAUGUUGUCCAUAGUGGGAGCUGAGAACUCACGGAUCGAUUUGUUUGCCAUGGCUUCGAACUCUGAAGACAAGUUCCGGUGAUCUUCUUGAUUGGUUGAAGCUUCUUGCUGAAGUGUUGAUGAUCUGUUCUUGAGCUUGGCUCUAGUUUUUCUGAAUAAGGCUUCAGGAUUGUCAACAAAAGUUCCUGGAAGAUGUCUUCUAUUCAUACAUUCCCCUACAUAAGAUAAAAUAGAAAAUACCAGGGUAAAACUGUAUGAGAGAAUUGAUAAGCUCAAUCAUAUUAGUGAUGCGAAUGAUAACUCAAAAUCCUAUAUUCAUUCCUGAUUAGUAAUCAACCUUCCCCAGCAACGGCGCCAAAAAUGCUGGUUGGGUAUUCUUAACAUCAUUACCAAAAGUAGACUUAGUUUUCUAAUUCUGAUAACGGUGCCAAAAAUGCCAAACCUAUCUCUCAUACCAUUUAAGCCAAGUUGUCAUCCCCAGCAUGACAUGAGAGACGCGGUAUUGAAAUAUGCAAUUGCUCUUCUAAGUAAAUAAUAAAUGGGAUCUGCAAGCGCACAAAUUAAUACCGAUGUAGCAUUUUAACCGGGAAGUAUUCCAGGUAUCGUUAUUUAUAUUUUUACCACUAGGAAGGGAUUAGUAACCAUCAAUAUUGAUUAUAGAAUAGAAUAUGAGAUUGAGUAUCUAUCAUUGCAUGUAUAAUUGAGAACAUUUAUCUAACUCUUUCAUACAGGGAUAAGUGUCACAUAAAAGAUAUAUGAAAUAAUGAAUAGUGACAAAGAUAAUUAAUCUGAUCAGCAUAACUUAGCCACAUAUAAAUAUGAUAAGCACCUCAAUUAGAUAUUCUAGCAAGUCAUUAGCAUGGUAUUAGAACGAACUACAAGAAUAUUUCCUAAGUUAUUCUCAACUAUAUAGUCUAGCAUUAUCAUAGUUAGUGUAAGCAUACUUAGCAAUCAUUGUGAGACAAGACUACGCCCAUGCAUAGUGAUAUUAGCAAGGAAUAUGAGAAACAUAGCAAUCACUCCCCUGUAAUAAUGUUGCUCUGCCAGCCCAAUACACGAGAGGGGGACUAUAUAAGAAUCAAUGAAGCUGUCACUAUCACGAACUACACCACGAUCUGGCAUAUUGGGUACAAUCGCAGAUAAAUACGGUAUAAGCACCACGCCUACACAAUAUCUAUCAUUUACCCAUGGAUCCGAUGGAUAAACGCUAUACGAUCCCAAACAUGUAUAUAGAUCCAAUCUAACUAAGCCAAGUAUAUAACCAUGAUAAACUAAGAACAAUAUAAUCUUGAAUAUAAACAAGUAGAGCAAAGUCAUAAGCAAUAUAUUGGAGUAGAACAAAGUCAUAUUCAUAAUAUUGAAGAACAAAGAUGAACAAUUAGAGAAUUACCAAGAAUCCUCUUGAUAGAUCUGGAAACCAAUCGAAGAUUGACUCCUUCUAGUUCUAAUCCUAUGUAGCUAUUGUUGACGGUUCUUAAGUAUCAAUUUUAAUUAUUAAAUAAACAAGGGAAAGGACCAAUAUGCAACCAACACCUAGAAUUAGGGUUUGAUCUGACAGAAUUCCAUGAGUUUUGUUGUUUAUCUGUUUCUGCAGGGGGUUAUCAGGAAAUAAGGAAGAAAGGCCCACAUGUCGGGAUUACAUAGAGAUAUCAACGCACCGCGCGAUUUUCUACCAUCUAGAAGACUCUAGAAGCCACGGGAAGAAGGCAGAGGCCGAAAGGGGCCAGGCCCAGGGCGCCCGCCCCCUGCUGGAUGCCAAUCAGGACUCUCUUCGCACGGGAUGUUCCACCGACCUAUUGGAUCAAGGAAAAUAUAGUACCACCUCGCCUACCGACCCAAAAACGCAUAGAGGAGGAGGACUAUAUAAGGAGACCCCCCUUGCCCCUGGAGAAGACAUGAAGAAAUUAUCAUAGAGAUUGAGGGGUGCCCUCGAAGGAAAACCUCUUCUCUAAUUAAUAUUUCUUUUUAGGCUUAGCAAACAAUGUAAAGUAGAAAUAGAUGUUCUAGUUUCUACUAGAUUGAGAGAGAUAGAGUGGAGGUGUAGAUUAGAGGAAGCCCGGCCUAUCGGUGUCUACUCCAAGCUUGUACCUGCGGGAUCAAGUUCUCCUAACCCGAAGCUUGCUCCUAGGAUUCUUCAGUAUUUCGACUUCUAAAUUAUACUAAGUUCUUGUUUUAUUGUUCUUCUGGUUUAUGAGUUUACUUUAAUCUCUUUGCGUAGAGUUUAGAGCAAUCAUUGCUGGCGUAAACGUGGUGUUUAGGCUGGGGAACUCAUAGAUAUUCCCUGACUAGCUGGACCGUGGUAGUAGCGAGGAACGUGACAAUUCCGAGUUACCUUUGCAGACCAUAUCGCGUUAGCAGGAAGGAUAGGGUUUAUAGGUGCGGGUUGAACAUCCUUUGUGGUGUCUAGAUUCCGUUAGCCUCCCCAAUAGAACAGUAGAUCAUCCUUACCAAGGUUAGAAGGAGACUACGGUUGCAGUCUUCUCUAUUUAUCACUCACAUCGAAAGACAUUCUUUGUUGCCUAAAGGUUAGUAGUAAUAGACCGGUUAGUCAGAUGCACUCUUUCUCAUAGUGGUAAAAAAAUAAAUACGAUACUUUGGAUAAUUUCCCGGGUGAAAUGCUCACCGAUAUCCGUGCGCUUGCGGAUCAAUUCCUUAUUGUGUUCCCAAAUAUCAAAAAGCAUUUCUGGCGCCGUUGUCGGGGAGAAAGACGGUUGCUGAGAUAACCUGAGUCUUACUACUGGCGCCGUUGUCGGGGAGAAAGACGGUUGCUGAGAUAAUCUAUACUUUUAUCUUUUCUUAUCUUUUAUAUUCUUUAUUUAUUUUCUUUACUCUUACCUUAUGGAAAACCAAAAUUCUAAAUCGAUCCAUGAGUCUGCAAUCCCUUCAGUAACUGACCUUUUACCAUGGGAAUCAUCACAGCUGUUGACACUUGCUAACACCACUUGAAUACUAGGUUGUCAUCCCUAGCAUGGCACUAGAGUGUACUAUGGUAUUUAUACACACACAGAUAAUCCGCAAGCGCACGGAUACCGUUGAAGCUUUCACCCGGUUAAAGGUUUUAUCGUAUCCACAGGGAAACGGGAGAACCAACUACGCUCUAACUUAACCAAGAUAGAUAGAUAGUGUAAAUAGGAAAGAUGGUAGAAUUGAAUAAGAACAAUAUUAAAGGUAAGAUAACAAUAGGUGAUAAUAUGGGAAUAGAGAGUAGAGCAAUUCUAGUAUAUGGGCGAUGGUAGCAGAAUAGAGAGAAUAACUAUGGCUUCUCUACUUCAAAGGGGUAUGUCUAUGUCCGGGACGAACCACGUGAUAAGAUUACACCACAAAGGAUGCUUAUCCAUAGGCCGAUAAACCCUACCCGUCCUGCUAACGAGAGGUGGACUACAGAGGACCAACGUAACUGUCACCUACGCGGCCUACCACACGAUCCAGCUAGACAGGGGAUAUCCAAAAGUAAUCUAGGUCUAAGCACCACGCUUACACCUAUACUACAACUCUCACCUAUAGCGUCCUAUAGAUUAGAAUACUCAAAAGAGUUGUGAACCAGAACAUACAUAAUUAGUAAUUGCAAAAUGAAUUAGAAGUAGAUUACCAGAGUCAUCCCAUGAGCAAGCUUGAUUAGAGCUUGAUCAUGACGAAGUACAACCGGAGGAAGAACCGACAGGCCGGCCUCUCCUCUAAUCCUCCUUCGCUCUCCAUCUUGCUACUAUCUAGAUCUACUCUAGUUUAGAGAAGAGAAGAGAGCUCUCAUCUCUAAACCCUAGCUUUUGCUCUGUCUAUGAAUAAUGAAUAAUGAUCAAGGGGUGCCUCCUCCAGGGGCUAGGGGGUCUGGUUAUAUAGUCUUUUCAGAUGAAUCUGGGCCGUCGGAUCAAACCGACAUUGAUCGUGUGGUUUUCCUUGAAGGAUUAGGUCGGUGGAGCAUGAUCCGCGAAGUUGAAGCUGAUUGGUUACUGUAGCUGGGCGGGCACCCAAGGGACUUGGGCGGGCGCCCUGCCCCCGGGCCCGAUCGGCCUCCCGUUCGUUCCCGUGGCUUCUGGAGUCUUCUAGAUGAUAGAAAAUUGCGCGGCACGUUAAUAUCUCUAUGUAAACACGACGUGUGGGCCUUUCUUUCAUAUUUCCUGAUAACCCCCUGCAGAAAUAGACAAACACCAAAACUCGUGGAAUUCUGUCAGAUAAAACCCUAAGUCUAGAUGUUGAUUUCAUUUGGAUCCUUUUCUUUGUUUAUUUGAUAAUUAAAUUUGAUACUUAAGGACUGUCAACAAACUCCCCCAAGCUUACCUCUUGCUCGUCCCUGAGCAAGGAUAGACUCAGCAAUCGAUCAGAAGUUGUUGCAAUAUCUUAAAAAUUUGACGGUACACAUGCUUUUAAAUAAGAUCUCAUCUCUGAGUUAGAGUAAACUGUCAAGAACUAAAACUUACUUACUUUACCUUUCACCAUAGGACUUGUAACCGUCACUUCUGUCUUAAGUAGUUAAAAGAUAGAACAGUCUAGCCAAGUGCCAUGUCUCUUAUCCUUGAUCAGCUAUAGCUCUAGAGUUUUUGCAGAUUUUCAAAUAAAACUCAGAGAUUCCUUGUAUGACUCUCUAAAUCUCUCUUUUGUGGUAUUUCUGGAUCCUUACCAAGGCAGUGAUGGUAUAUGUCUUCUCUCAAGAUAUGUGGUAUUUGUGGUAUAAGGCAUAGUGACAUUACCUUCUCUCUCACCCAACUUUAAUAAGGCUUUAAUAUCUGGAGCUCAUAGGUGGGAGAUAAAGUAUACAUACUUACAAGACAUUUAUUGCAUAGUCAAACCAUGGAUCCAAAGAAACAAAUCAUUAAGCCAAAUCAAGAUGUGCAUGUGUGGCGAAUGAAUAGUGUGUGGUGAUGAUGGUGGUAAUGGUGGAAGUCUAAUUCUACUUUUGCUCUUUUGAGGGGAUACAUACCUUCCUUGCUUUCUGAAACUUUAUGAGGAGAAUGAGAUGCUCUUCUUUUUCUUUCCUCUCAGGUGGGUAUCUUGUACCCCUAAUUCUACUGUCGGACACUUGUCCAUUUUUACCUCUCGUCUCACUUUUUCUUUGUUUCUUUCGAGGUUCCGGGCACUUGCCCCUUUUUAUUUCCUCGUAUUUUUCUUCUUUUUUUUUAGAGCACUCAUCUCAUGAGAUAAUAUAGCAAGUGGUAGUAACAAGAUAACUUGAGUAUUUAUUUCACAAGGAAGAAACAGAAAUAUUUUUGGUUAUUCUCUCCCGGAUUAGGAGUAGAAUAUUUUUGGGUGGCUCUGGAGAUGGAAAUGAGUGGAUAUAUGUGGAUGGUACUUCCGGAGUAGAAGCAGCAUGUAUGAGUGAACGUGCAAGUGAAUCUUGAUUUACCCACAUGACAAGCUCCUAAGGGUCUACACAGCUUGACCACACUCAAUGCUCAUAAGCAGUAAAUAACAAAUGUGUGGCUCAAAGUCUAGCAAGCAUGUAUAUAUGGCUGUGGUAGGAAUUUAAACUUUCAUCAUACAGGAACUCAUCAUGCAAUAUUUUAAAGAUUUUUCAAAGAUAAAAUUCUCCAGAAUUCUAGCAUCUCUAGGAAUAGAUAAACAGUAGCUCAACCUUCCCAUAUCAUAUCGGUUAACAACUUAGAUUUCAGAUCAAGUUUUCAUCCCACAAGUUUAGAUCUAGAGCAAGCUUUAAAUUAUAACAGUUAUGUCUAAACUUGAGAGAGAACUUCAAAUUUGCAAAUUAGGCAGAGCAACUAUUCAUCAUAUCCAUGCUAGAGUUUUAUUAUUAAGAUUCAGAUUAGCAUACCACUUUAUUUAUUUAUUAAACACAGUAAGCAAAAGAUAUAUAUAUAUAUAUAAGCACAAAAUCUUUAUUUGGUUUUUCAUAGUUUAUGUAUUUUAAUAUUCUAAUAUAAUAUAAGUAUAAAGAUAGGUAGAAAUACUUAGCGAGAUAAAUGGGGGUGCUCUCCCCCAAGCUGAAUUUUGACGUAAUUUCUCUUGAUGUAGCUAGCAGGUGGCAGAGGUGUAUUUGAAAGUCAGCAGCAUUCUGACAGCGAUUAGAAUGUCCUCCGUGUGCUAGUCUUCUUGAUUCUUAAAUUCUGUGGAGCUCAAAUAGACAACAAAGCUUGUGGAACUAAUUAAGUGUUAGCAUAAAUAUAUAGCCUUCAUCAUGUUGAGCUUCCUCAAUAAAUAUUACUCCCUGUUUUUAUAUUUUUAUUUUAUAAAGUAGAAAAGAAAUAUUUAUUUUAUUUUUAUGCCACCACAGUGACGGUACUUAUGGGUUUUAUGCCACUCGUAUACUCACGUGGGCUUAGUAUUUUUUAACAUUUUUAUUUUCUUUUCAAGAUAGCAUGAUUUAACUAAUAAUCUAUUUAAGGAAAGUAAAUAAUUAAAGGGAAAAGGAAUUGCAGAACGGAUAAAUAUGGAUAACUACCGAUCUUACCUUUCGGCGAUGGUUCAAUGUUUUAAGUCUUCUUGGCAAGACUUCUCACCGUGUUCAUUCUUCAGGUGCGUCAUUUGAUUCAGGUGCGGACCUUGACGUCUGCACCUCUUCGUUUGCCCAACAGUUCGAAGUGCGGCGUUGGCAGUAUCCUGCUCACUGUAUUUGAGCUCGUAGAUCCAGGUCCUUCACUUGGUAGAGUCUGAGAGUUAUAAAUCUCCUCCAUGUUUUGCUCGAAGUGUACCUGCUCAUAGAGACAAGGUAG